GACGAACGCUGGCGGCGUGCUUAACACAUGCAAGUCGAACGGAGUGGCGAACGGGUGAGUACCACGUGGGGGACCUGCCCUGCACUUCGGGAUAAGCCUGGGGAACUGGGUCUAAUAACGGAUAGUGUGGGAUGGGCCCGCGGCCUAUCAGCUUGUUGGUGGGGUAAUGGCCUACCAAGGCGGCGACGGGUAGCCGGCCUGAGAGGGUGGACGGCCACCUUGGGACUGGGACACGGCCCAGACUCCUACGGUGGGCAGCAGUGGGGAAUAUGGCACAAUGGGCGGAAGCCUGAUGCAGCGACGCCGGGUGGGUGAUGACGGCCUUGGGGUUGUAAACUCCUUUCACCAUCGACGCGGUAGAUGGAGAAGAAGCACCGGCUAACUACGUGCCAGCCGCCGCGGUAAUAC
rnacentral:rRNA from 1 species